CGUCAUUCUAGCUCCCUAAUUCGUCAUGGUUGUAAGCGUGGGGAGCUCAAUUACAUGGACCGUCUUCAUCUUCCUUCUUCUGCUACUGGAUUUGCUUGCUUGGGGAAGCCUUGGAUGCUCUCUGUUUGUACUGGGAUGCCAAUUGGGAUUGGUGGUCUCAUUAAUGACAAUCGCUUUCUCAUGAACUCGGAUGGGUGAGGUGCUUUAGGCGACUGAGCCGGGAAGAUAAUGUGACGACAACCAUCAGAGACGGACAAUCGAUUGGAAUUUCGGGAGCUCGGAGCUGCAUAGACAAGCUGUACAUCUUAAUCCAUGUCGGAUUGAUUGUGGGUUGCCACUCCUUUGUGAAAAAAAUACUCAGAUUGGGAAACUGAUUUGCAGCCUAUUAUACUUGAAAUUGAUAUGAAGGAAAUUUUUAAUAGAUGAUGUAAAGAGACAUAUUGGACGGAGGCCCUAUUUUGAGAGGGCAAGUCCUGUUUUAUCGUUUGUCAUCUUGGCCUUUGCCAUGACAGGUGCGCUUGCAUGGCAGGUCACCAAUCAUUAAUAAAAGAUAAUGAAUUUCAUGUU